GACGAACGCUGGCGGCGUGCUUAACACAUGCAAGUCGAGCGGUAAGGCCCUUUCGGGGGUACACGAGCGGCGAACGGGUGAGUAACACGUGGGUGACCUGCCCUCAGCUCUGGGAUAAGCCUGGGAAACCAGGUCUAAUACCGGAUAUGACUCCAUGACGCAUGUUGUGGGGUGGAAAGCCUUGUGCGGCUGAGGAUGGGCCCGCGGCCUAUCAGCUUGUUGGUGGGGUGAGGCCUACCAAGGCGACGACGGGUAGCCGGCCUGAGAGGGCGACCGGCCACACUGGGACUGAGACACGGCCCAGACUCCUACGGGAGGCAGCAGUGGGGAAUCUUGCGCAAUGGGCGAAAGCCUGACGCAGCGACGCCGCGUGAGGGAUGACGGCCU
rnacentral:rRNA from 1 species